ACUCCUACGGGAGGCAGCAGUGGGGAAUCUUGGACAAUGGGGGCGAACCCUCGAUCCAGCCAUGCCGCGUGAGUGAUGAAGGCCUUAGGUCGUAAAGCUCUUUCGCCUGUGAUGAUAAUGACAGUAGCAGGUAAAGAAACCCCGGCUAACUCCGUGCCAGCAGCCGCGGUAAUACGGAGGGGGUUAGGCGUUGUUCGGAAUUACUGGGGCGUAAAGCGCGCGUAGGCGGAUUAGUCAGUUAGAGGUGAAAUCCCAGGGCUCAACCCUGGAACUGCCUUUAAUACUGCUAGUCUUGAGUUCGAGAGAGGUGAGUGGAAUUCCGAGUGUAGAGGUGAAAUUCGUAGAUAUUCGGAGGAACACCAGUGGCGAAGGCGGCUCACUGGCUCGAUACUGACGCUGAGGUGCGAAAGUGUGGGGGAGCAAACAGGAUUAGAUACCCUGGUAGGAUAGCG
rnacentral:rRNA from 1 species